rnacentral:rRNA from 1 species
AGUGAACGCUGGCGGUAGGCCUAACACAUGCAAGUCGAACGGCAGCACAGUAGGAGCUUGCUCUUACGGGUGGCGAGUGGCGGACGGGUGAGGAAUACAUCGGAAUCUACUUUUUCGUGGGGGAUAACGUAGGGAAACUUACGCUAAUACCGCAUAUGACCUACGGGUGAAAGCAGGGGAUCUUCGGACCUUGCGCGAUUGAAUGAGCCGAUGUCGGAUUAGCUAGUUGGCGGGGUAAAGGCCCACCAAGGCGACGAUCCGUAGCUGGUCUGAGAGGAUGAUCAGCCACACUGGAACUGAGACACGGUCCAGACUCCUACGGGAGGCAGCAGUGGGGAAUAUUGGACAAAGGGCGCAAGCCUGAUCCAGCCAUACCGCGUGGGUGAAGAAGGCCUUCGGGUUGUAAAGCCCUUUUGUUGGGAAAGAAAAGCAGCAGGUUAAUACCCCGCUGUUCUGACGGUACCCAAAGAAUAAGCACCGGCUAACUUCGUG